GAUGAACGCUGGCGGCGUGCCUAAUACAUGCAAGUCGAGCGAACGGACGAGAAGCUUGCUUCUCUGAUGUUAGCGGCGGACGGGUGAGUAACACGUGGAUAACCUACCUAUAAGACUGGGAUAACUUCGGGAAACCGGAGCUAAUACCGGAUAAUACUUUGAACCGCAUGGUUCAAAAGUGAAAGACGGUCUUGCUGUCACUUAUAGAUGGAUCCGCGCUGCAUUAGCUAGUUGGUAAGGUAACGGCUUACCAAGGCAACGAUGCAUAGCCGACCUGAGAGGGUGAUCGGCCACACUGGAACUGAGACACGGUCCAGACUCCUACGGGAGGCAGCAGUAGGGAAUCUUCCGCAAUGGGCGAAAGCCUGACGGAGCAACGCCGCGUGAGUGAUGAAGGUCUUCGGAUCGUAAAACUCUGUUAUUAGGGAAGAACAUAUGUGUAAGUAACUGUGCACAUCUUGACGGUACCUAAUCAGAAAGCCACGGCUAACUACGUGCCAGCAGCCGCGGUAAUACGUAGGUGGCAAGCGUUAUCCGGAAUUAUUGGGCGUAAAGCGCGCGUAGGCGGUUUUUUAAGUCUGAUGUGAAAGCCCACGGCUCAACCGUGGAGGGUCAUUGGAAACUGGAAAACUUGAGUGCAGAAGAGGAAAGUGGAAUUCCAUGUGUAGCGGUGAAAUGCGCAGAGAUAUGGAGGAACACCAGUGGCGAAGGCGACUUUCUGGUCUGUAACUGACGCUGAUGUGCGAAAGCGUGGGGAUCAAACAGGAUUAGAUACCCUGGUAGUCCACGCCGUAAACGAUGAGUGCUAAGUGUUAGGGGGUUUCCGCCCCUUAGUGCUGCAGCUAACGCAUUAAGCACUCCGCCUGGGGAGUAUGACCGCAAGGUUGAAACUCAAAGGAAUUGACGGGGACCCGCACAAGCGGUGGAGCAUGUGGUUUAAUUCGAAGCAACGCGAAGAACCUUACCAAAUCUUGACAUCCUUUGACAACUCUAGAGAUAGAGCCUUCCCCUUCGGGGGACAAAGUGACAGGUGGUGCAUGGUUGUCGUCAGCUCGUGUCGUGAGAUGUUGGGUUAAGUCCCGCAACGAGCGCAACCCUUAAGCUUAGUUGCCAUCAUUAAGUUGGGCACUCUAAGUUGACUGCCGGUGACAAACCGGAGGAAGGUGGGGAUGACGUCAAAUCAUCAUGCCCCUUAUGAUUUGGGCUACACACGUGCUACAAUGGACAAUACAAAGGGCAGCGAAACCGCGAGGUCAAGCAAAUCCCAUAAAGUUGUUCUCAGUUCGGAUUGUAGUCUGCAACUCGACUACAUGAAGCUGGAAUCGCUAGUAAUCGUAGAUCAGCAUGCUACGGUGAAUACGUUCCCGGGUCU
rnacentral:rRNA from 1 species